AAAGUCUGAUCCAGCAAUUCUGUGUGCACGAUGACGGUCUUCGGAUUGUAAAGUGCUUUCAGUUGGGAAGAAAGAAAUGACGGUACCAACAGCAAGAAGCGACGGCUAAAUACGUGCCAGCAGCCGCGGUAAUACGUAUGUCGCAAGCGUUAUCCGGAUUUAUUGGGCGUAAAGCGCGUCUAGGUGGUUUGAUAAGUCUGAUGUGAAAAUGCGGGGCUCAACUCCGUAUUGCGUUGGAAACUGUCAAACUAGAGUAUCGGAGAGGUGGGCGGAACUACAAGUGUAGAGGUGAAAUUCGUAGAUAUUUGUAGGAAUGCCGAUAGAGAAGUCAGCUCACUGGACGAAUACUGACACUGAAGCGCGAAAGCAUGGGGAGCAAACAGGAUUAGAUACCCUGGUAGUCCAUGCCGUAAACGAUGAUUACUAAGCGUCGGGGGUCGAACCUCGGCACUCAAGCUAACGCGAUAAGUAAUCCGCCUGGGGAGUACGUACGCAAGUAUGAAACUCAAA
rnacentral:rRNA from 1 species